AGAGUUUGAUCCUGGCUCAGGACGAACGCUGGCGGCGCGCUUAACACAUGCAAGUCGAGCGAGAACCGGUCCUUCGGGACCGGGGAAAGCGGCGAACGGGUGAGUAACACGUGGGUAAUCAACCCUUGACUCUGGGAUAGCCCGGGGAAACUCGGAUUAAUACCGGAUGGCCCAACAGCUCUUCGGGGCGGUUGGAAAAAGGUAGCUUCGGCCUCCGGUCAGGGACGAGCCCGCGGCGGAUUAGCUUGUUGGUGAGGUAACGGCUCACCAAGGCGACGAUCCGUAGCUGGUCUGAGAGGACGAUCAGCCACACUGGGACUGAGACACGGCCCAGACUCCUACGGGAGGCAGCAGUGGGGAAUCUUGCACAAUGGGCGAAAGCCUGAUGCAGCGACGCCGCGUGAGGGAAGAAGGCUUUCGGGUUGUAAACCUCUUUCAGAAGGGACGAAGCUCCUCGGGUUAAUAGCCCAGAGGGUGACGGUACCUUCAGAAGAAGCCCCGGCUAACUACGUGCCAGCAGCCGCGGUAAUACGUAGGGGGCAAGCGUUGUCCGGAUUUAUUGGGCGUAAAGAGCGUGUAGGCGGCUGGGUAGGUCCGUUGUGAAAACUCGAGGCUCAACCUCGAGACGCCGAUGGAAACCAUCCAGCUAGAGUCCGGAAGAGGAGAGUGGAAUUCCUGGUGUAGCGGUGAAAUGCGCAGAUAUCAGGAAGAACACCCGUGGCUAAGGCGGCUCUCUAGUACGGUACUGACGCUGAGACGCGAAAGCGUGGGGAGCGAACAGGAUUAGAUACCCCAGUAGUCC
rnacentral:rRNA from 1 species